AUUCCAGCUCCAAUAGCGUAUAUUAAAGUUGUUGCGGUAAAAAAGCUCGUAGUUGGAUUUCUGUUGAGGACGACCGGUCCGUACCAUGUACGCGCAUCUGGUUCGGCCUCGGCAUCCUCUCGAUAGACGUUUCUGCGCUUGAUUGCGUGGAGCGGAUUUCGGGACUUUUACUUUGAGGAAAUUAGAGUGUUCACGGCAGGCUAUCGCCAGAAUACAUUAGCAUGGAAUAAUAUUAUAGGAUCUCAGUUCUAUUUUGUUGGUUUCUAGACCUGGGGUAAUGAUUAAUAGGGACAAUUGGGGGCAUUUGUAUCAACACGUCAGAGGUGGAAUUCUUGGAUUGUGUUGCGACAAACUACUGCGAAAGCAUUUGCCAAGGAUGUUUUCAUUA
rnacentral:rRNA from 1 species